rnacentral:rRNA from 1 species
GACGUAGGAAGCGAGCGUUGUCCGGAUUCAUUGGGCGUAAAGAGCGCGCAGGCGGCUUGGUAAGUCGGAUGUGAAAUCCCGAGGCUCAACCUCGGGUCUGCAUCCGAUACUGCCCGGCUAGAGGUAGGUAGGGGAGAUCGGAAUUCCUGGUGUAGCGGUGAAAUGACGCAGAUAUCAGGAGGAACACCGGUGGCGAAGGCGGGUCUCUGGGCCGAUACUGACGCUGAGGAGCGAAAGCGUGGGGAGCGAACAGG